AGAGUUUGAUCAUGGCUCAGGACGAACGCUGGCGGCGUGCUUAAUACAUGCAAGUCGAGCGAGGUUACUGUUUUGGAUCCCUUCGGGGUGAAGAAGCUUUAACCUAGCGGCGGACGGGUGAGUAACGCGUGGGUAACCUACCCCAAAGUCCGGGAUAACAGCGGGAAACCGCUGCUAAUACCGGAUGCCUUUACCUUGGGGCAUCUUGAGGUAAAGAAAGGUAACGCUUUGGGAUGGGCCCGCGUCCCAUUAGCUAGUUGGUGAGGUAACGGCUCACCAAGGCGACGAUGGGUAGCCGGCCUGAGAGGGUGGACGGCCACACUGGGACUGAGACACGGCCCAGACUCCUACGGGAGGCAGCAGUAGGGAAUAUUGCGCAAUGGACGGAAGUCUGACGCAGCGACGCCGCGUGAGCGAUGAAGGUCUUCGGAUCGUAAAGCUCUGUCCUUGGGGAAGAAGGCGAAAGCUUGACGGUACCCAAGAAGAAAGCCCCGGCUAACUACGUGCCAGCAGCCGCGGUAAUACGUAGGGGGCGAGCGUUGUCCGGAAUUACUGGGCGUAAAGGGUGCGUAGGCGGCCCUUUAAGUCGGAUGUGAAAGCCCGCGGCUUAACCGCGGAAUGGCAUUCGAAACUGGAGGGCUUGAGUGUCGGAGAGGGUAGUGGAAUUCCCAGUGUAGCGGUGAAAUGCGUAGAUAUUGGGAGGAACACCAGUGGCGAAGGCGACUACCUGGACGAUAACUGACGCUGAGGCACGAAAGCUAGGGGAGCAAACAGGAUUAGAUACCCUGGUAGUCCUAGCCGUAAACGAUGGGUACUAGGUGUGGGUGGUUUCGAUACCAUCCGUGCCGUAGUUAACGCAUUAAGUACCCCGCCUGGGGAGUACGUGCGCAAGCAUGAAACUCAAAGGAAUUGACGG
rnacentral:rRNA from 1 species